GCUCAGCAGUACCUCUUUGGGAUGUGCAUGUUGAGUCGGAGAUAGAGUCGUAUUUAAACAGACUUAUAACCACUAGACCAGACCAAUUUGCAACCAGCUCGGUUAUUUGCAUGCUGUCCUGCAAAGAGGACCAAUGGUUGGUGGUGCUAGCUCUGUAUUUAGAUGUUUAUCAGGACAGCUGCUGAGUGAGAAUUUAUAUUUAGUAUCUGUGGACUUCCUUGUCUCCCUCAUACAUCUGAUUUUUCAGUGUAUAAGGGGUGGGAGAAAAAUCAAUAAAGCAUUAUAUCGCAAUAUUUUGUCUGGUGAUAUAUUGUACCGUCGUAUUUACCAAGUAUCGAUUUUUCAAAUUAAUUGCUAAUAUGAAGUCAAAUCUAUGAUAAUGAAAAAAUGAAAUCAAUUGUUCAAAUACAGCAUAAAUAAGACAAACAUAAAUAAAUGCCAAAUGCUAAAUUCGCUAAACAGUUGAAAAAUUUGUAUAAAUUGCAAUAUAUUGUAUCGCAAUACUCACUGUACUGCAAAAUGUUAAAAAUCCCAAUAGUAUUGUAUCAUGGCCAAAGUACCGUGAUAAUAUCGUAUCGUGGGGCCACCAGUGAUUCCCACCCCCAGUAUUUAUUUGGACUGACAUGCUGUGAAUCAAUCGCUUAGUAAAACUUUCAGGCACAUACACCCCUUACUGAAUCUAUCGCCUAAGUCUGGUCGCACCAUCCGCCAUAUUUAUCCCGCUCUAGCUGUUUAUUUGAUCUGAAUCAUGCAGACAGAUAUAAUAGCAAGGUGGGAUUAUAGCCAAGACUUCCCAAUCUGAUCCUGUUGUAUCUUGUUAAAAAUGUGAUUUCUUAGAUAGCUUUACACUCUUACUUAUUUAUACUUUGUCCAAAGACCAAACAAUAAUAAACGCUUUGUAAAUGAUCAGUUAUGAAGUAGCUGAGUACAACUUGGCCCUCCCUUAUUUCUGAGAUGAUUAUAACUCCAUAUGUAUCCGUCUUUAUGUUCUGGUGAUGCUGUUACAGAGAUGAACAGCAUGUCCACACAGUCUUGUUACAUAACCAGCCAAACGUCCUCUGAUACCUCCAGGAACACAAAGCCAACAUACAACUUUGACACUGCAUCACUGUCUGUUUAACGUGAUACUGUAGAUGAUGCUUUUCAGGUCCAGGGACUUCUGGAUGUGUUUGGCAGCCGUUUUGUGGGGCAGUCCUGUGAUCUCCCUCCUUUCUUUAUCCAAUCUGUUAACAGUUAUUGUCUUCCCAACAAUCAGGCUUUGUUCUUGGACGGACCUGGUAAGGCGAAGGAAUUUACUGCUUCCAUCCAAAUCAACCAGAUAUUUUUCUUGACAAAUACUCACAUUGGAAGGAAAAAAAAAAAUAAUACAAACAGACUAUGGCCACUCUUCUCCUUCUAAUUCCUUCUUUUUUUAAAAAUAUUACUUUAAUUUCAAUUUCCUUUCAAAUGUUUUGGCAAACUUUAAUUUUUAAUCCUGGUCGUAAAUUUUCAGUACAGGGUGAUUAUACUGAACAUGUGAUCAGUAUAACAAAGUAUCAGGAAGAAAACAACAUGUAGAGGUUUCCGUUUUGAAAUGAGGAAGAAUAAAAACUCCCACAAAAAAGCGGCACCCUCGACGGCGGAUGAAUACAAUGUGAAUGAACUUCUACAUCAGGGUACAAAAGCUGCACUGUGUUAGCAUCAGUAUCAGAAGUUGCAGAACAUGAUGUGGUGUUUGAUCACAAGAAGCCUUUGGCACUGUCAGAUGCUGCGCACAGAGAGGAAACCAAGAGCAUUGAUUUCAUUGUCGAGCAGCAAGGAGCGUGUGUGAUUUGGCAAAUGUGUGUUCGCAAAGUGUCUGGAACAUAAAACUAUAGAGGCCCAUUCAGACCUUUCUUUCUCUCUCCUUCCAUCAGGAGAUAGCAGGGACAUUGAACUGCCGUAACAAAAGCAGAUUUCCAUCAGACAGAGUUUCUGAGAUAGAAAGGCAUUGUGUUGAAAGGGGCUUAAUGGAAGCUCAGCUUCGAGCUUUAUUCACACAAACUGCUCUCGAGUGGGAAACACAUGUGUGCGCACACAAAAAGGCACACACAUUUUUUUUUCCUGCCAAACACUCCCUGUUCGUCUGCACUGAAAUUGGUGGUCUCAUUUUGAUAAUGUUUUACAAAUGAUAGAGGAGAUAUUUUGACCAGAUAGUUGCCAGUCGUAAUGUUCUGGAACAAGGUUCUUAUAUCACAUGACACUCAUCUCAGGCUAAAAUCCCACACGUGCAAGAGUCUGUUCGUACGAAAUUAUUUUUAGCAACGACGUUCAGAACUGCUGGACUCGAACCCUGAUCAGCACCUGCAAGCAAAGCACAGAUAUAUCACUUACCAAUCCAAUUAUAAUUUUGCUUUUUUGCAGUUAUAUUAAUGUAUUUUGUGGUAUUGUUAGCUUCCUUAUCAGGGUGAGAUAUCACACAAAAGGUAGAUACUUCCGUAGAAAUAUGAAGUCAGAACUUCCAGCACUAAAAGUACCGCAGAGAUAUGUACCGAAUCAUUGAAUCAGUAUUGUGAACCUCAAGUUAGUCCUAAACCUUUAAAGACAGAAUGUCAAGUUUCACUCAUGCUAAAGUUUGAGCAGGUAAAGGCUUUGAAUAGAGCUUUAUGUUUUUUAAGGUAAAACAAUGUAAACCACUGUCUCCUGUGUGCAGUUCACGAAACAGUCCAACCCAACCUCAAUCCACCCCAUGGGGCUUAUUUUAGUGAUUAAUGUGACAAAAACAGCAAUUGGUCAGUUUACUCACGAGGGCAAAUUUCAAUUUCUCACGGUGCAUUUGUGAUCAUGAAAAUUUGGAAACCAUGAAGCACACAUAAAAAAGGGAGGCUGCCAUGGAAACUGAAACAUAAUUCUUCAAAAACAGGACGAGCCUUUGAGGUCCUUUUUUUUUGUUUAAGGUCAAUCUGUGUUUGUGAUAUACCUACUUCAGGGGCUACCUACCUAGCUACCCAGUAAAAUAAGUUCUAUUUUCAAUCUAGCUGACAUAGGGCUGGGUGAUAUGGUCUCAAAUCAAUAUCGCCAUAUAUUGAUCAGUUCACCUCGAUAACGAUAAAUGGAAGAUAACUACUCCACAAGCUGCUUACCCCCUCCCACAUGAACUUCAUCUACUUCAGCCGCUACAACUUUUAAACAGUCCUCCAUUCCCGUCACCUCUUUCCCUCUGUGUUACAGACUGGAUGGGGUGGAGUCACGUUUCUGACGUAGGACAGCACCUUAAAGGGACAUGAGACCAUAGCCUACAUACACAUCCAAAAACAACUUUUAUUUAUUUAUUCUUUUUGACACCAAAUAUACCAGUAUGGGCAAAAUGACGUUGGUUAUUGUUGUAAAUUUCGGUAUCGGUAAAUUUUCAGUUUAUCACCCAGCCCUAUCCUCAAAGCAGAAGUGUUGUUGAUGGUCUCAUUUGCUUGUAUUCAUCAUAGAGACUCAUAACUGGUCAUAUAACCAGUCAAAGACCCCUCAAGCUAAGAGGUAAUGCCAAAUAACUCUUUUAAGGAGUUAUUAGAAUUAUUCACACUUUGUUUUAUAGCCUAUUUCCAACUUGAUCUAUUAAUUAACAGUUCCCUAUAGAAGCAAGACUCGAAAUUCAAAAAGGAUAUAUAAUAUACUGACGUGGGCAAAAUGACGUUGGUUAUUAUUGUGAAUUUCGGUACUGGUAAAUUUUCGGUUUAUCGCCCAGACCUAAGCUGACAUGCAGCUCACGGGAACAAUUUCAGGGAUGUUUUUUGGAGUUUCACGUUGUUACUGUAGAGUUGUUUUCCUGCGAUGACCGUCUGUUUCACUGUGUCCUGCUUUCCCAGUCUACUUUUAUGGCCUCUUCUGUGCUACAUGUAAACUGAGGGAUAAGUGAGCAGGCCUCCCGUGGAUUAACCACCAACUGACUCCAAAAGUUGCCGUCAGACUUCCCUAUAAUGAGUUGUGUAAAAUCUCGACACAGACUCGAGUCCCAAGAUUUUCUAAACUAAGUGUAUACAUGCAGCAGUGCUGUGGCGUUGUCCCCAAAUCACAUCGUCCAAUAUUCCCCCGGAAAAGACUACACAACGGCUGCUCCCAAAUCUGAUUGGUGUUAUUUGUAAGUCAGUUUAAAUCUCGGAGAAGCUACACACACAAAUGGAACAGGGCUUACUAAUCCAUUUGUAAGGCAAUAGGCAGGCAAACAGGCAGGGGAGUGCUUGCCAAGUGUUGUAAUCACAACUAAAGAUGAUGAGCCCACUCCCUUCCCCUACACUCUCCAGUAGUGUGUGUGUCAGCGAGUGUGCACGAGCGUGCGUUUGCAUGUUUGUCCUACAUCGCCUCCUUUACAGAACUGUGACAAGUGAGAGAGAGAGAGAGAGAAAAUGAAUUGGUAUCAAGUGGAUAAUCUACAAAAGUACACUAGGAGCUUUUCCACCUUAUGCAAGUCCCCCGCUCAUUCAUUUGCAGAUACCACGCAAUCUCCGAGAACAACAACAAGCCGGCAGUGUGAGUUUGUGAAAAGGCAGUAAUUGUAAGCAGGUUUGGGGAAUAAAUUAGAAUGAUGACAAAAUACAGAGAUAAAUCCAGCUUAAGAGAGAUGUACGCCACUGUUUAUUUGAUUUCAGCUUUUCUCUCUAUCCCGCUCUUUCUCUCUCCCUCAUUCCUGAUCUUUUUUAGUGGGGUGGAAAAAUGGAUUUUUGUCAGCGAUUUGGCCCUGAAAUAGCUUAUUGUCUAAAGCAGCCACUGUGCGGGUACAACGUCAACAUCACAUGUGUGUGCGAACGCACUCGCCUGUUUCCAUGGGGAGUAAUGGCCGUGGAAGUGUGUAUCAGCUCUACUGGCACAAUACGCCACUGUGCUCAUUGGUUUGGACUGGUGUGUGCGAGUAUGAAUGCGUGUGUGUGUGUGUUUGGAUGGAGUUUCAUACUCGCUCUUGUUAUUAUUUAUAGAUGGAAGGAUUCUAGUAUGAAGGGGGUGAGGGUGCAAAAAUGUGGAGAACAGGACAAGUGAGUACGGGGAGAAAAAAAGGUGGAGGAAAUGGAUGAAAAGACAAAAGAAGGAGAGGAGAAGCUCAUUUGAAUGCCACUAAAUCUCUUUCGUCUAUCUCUCAUUCUUUAUUAUUACACACUCACCAGCUCACCCUAUCAACACAAAGUUAGUAAUCCAGUGAAAAGCAGGUUCUACAAUAUCAGGUUUUAAAAUUGUUGUUAAAUUUGUCUCAUUAAGAUAACUCUAAAAAAACUGCAGAUGUAGACAAACACUAAGCC